rnacentral:rRNA from 1 species
UGGGGAAUAUUGGACAAUGGGCGCAAGCCUGAUCCAGCCAUACCGCGUGGGUGAAGAAGGCCUUCGGGUUGUAAAGCCCUUUUGUUGGGAAAGAAAUCCAGCUGGUUAAUACCCGGUUGGGAUGACGGUACCCAAAGAAUAAGCACCGGCUAACUUCGUGCCAGCAGCCGCGGUAAUACGAAGGGUGCAAGCGUUACUCGGAAUUACUGGGCGUAAAGGCGUGCGUAGGUGGUCGUUUAAGUCUGUUGUGAAAGCCCUGGGCUCAACCUGGGAACUGCAGUGGAAACUGGACGACUAGAGUGUGGUAGAGGGUAGCGGAAUUCCUGGUGUAGCAGUGAAAUGCGUAGAGAUCAGGAGGAACAUCCAUGGCGAAGGCAGCUACCUGGACCAACACUGACACUGAGGCACGAAAGCGUGGGGAGCAAACAGGAUUAGAUACCCUGGUAGUCCACGCCCUAAACGAUGCGAACUGGAUGUUGGGUGCAAUUUGGCACGCAGUAUCGAAGCUAACGCGUUAAGUUCGCCGCCUGGGGAGUACGGUCGCAAGACUGAAACUCAAAUGAAUUGAC